UAUCUUCAGGGCGGGGCGCAAUUCCCCACCGGCGGUAUAGUCCGCGAGCGCAGAUGCGUUGAACCGGUGCAACUCCGGUACCGACAGUAUAGUCUGGAUGGAAGAAGAU
rnacentral:ncRNA from 1 species